rnacentral:rRNA from 1 species
CUCGUAGGUGGCCAACUAAGUCAGACGUGAAAUCCCUCGGCUUAACCGGGGAACUGCGUCUGAUACUGGAUGGCUUGAGUUUGGGAGAGGGACGCGGAAUUCCAGGUGUAGCGGUGAAAUGCGUAGAUAUCUGGAGGAACACCGGUGGCGAAGGCGGGCGUCCUGGACCAACACUGACACUGAUGAGCGAAAGCCAGGGGGAGCAAAACGG